UCCGCCCUACGGGGCGCAGCAGUGGGGAAUAUUGCACAAUGGGGGAAACCCUGAUGCAGCAACGCCGCGUGGGUGAAGGAGCGUUUCGGCGCGUAAAGCCCUGUCAGCGGGGAAGAAGAAAGACGGUACCCGACCAAGAAGCCCCGGCUAACUACGUGCCAGCAGCCGCGGUAAUACGUAGGUGACAAGCGUUGUCCGGAUUUACUGGGUGUAAAGGGCGCGUAGGCGGGAUAGCAAGUCAGUCGUAAAAUGCCGAGGCUUA
rnacentral:rRNA from 1 species